rnacentral:rRNA from 1 species
AGGCUUUGAAGUGUGGACGCCAGUCUGCAUGGAGCCGGCCUUGAAAUACCACCCUUUAAUGUUUGAUGUUCUAACGUGGACCCGUGAUCCGGGUUGCGGACAGUGUCUGGUGGGUAGUUUGACUGGGGCGGUCUCCUCCUAAAGAGUAACGGAGGAGCACGAAGGUUGGCUAAUCCUGGUCGGACAUCAGGAGGUUAGUGCAAUGGCAUAAGCCAGCUUGACUGCGAGCGUGACGGCGCGAGCAGGUGCGAAAGCAGGUCAUAGUGAUCCGGUGGUUCUGAAUGGAAGGGCCAUCGCUCAACGGAUAAAAGGUACUCCGGGGAUAACAGGCUGAUACCGCCCAAGAGUUCAUAUCGACGGCGGUGUUUGGCACCUCGAUGUCGGCUCAUCACAUCCUGGGGCUGAAGUAGGUCCCAAGGGUAUGGCUGUUCGCCAUUUAAAGUGGUACGCGAGCUGGGUUUAGAACGUCGUGAGACAGUUCGGUCCCUAUCUGCCGUGGGCGCUGGAGAACUGAGGGGGGCUGCUCCUAGUACGAGAGGACCGGAGUGGACGCAUCACUGGUGUUCGGGUUGUCAUGCCAAUGGCACUGCCCGGUAGCUAAAUGCGGAAGAGAUAAGUGCUGAAAGCAUCUAAGCACGAAACUUGCCCCGAGAUGAGUUCUCCCUGACCCUUUAAGGGUCCUGAAGGAACGUUGAAGACGACGACGUUGAUAGGCCGGGUGUGUAAGCGCAGCGAUGCGUUGAGCUAACCGGUACUAAUGAACCGUGAGG